GAAGGUGUGCUGUGAGGCAUGCUGGAGGUAUCAGAAGUGCGAAUGCUGACAUAAGUAACGAUAAAGCGGGUGAAAAGCCCGCUCGCCGGAAGACCAAGGGUUCCUGUCCAACGUUAAUCGGGGCAGGGUGAGUCGACCCCUAAGGCGAGGCCGAAAGGCGUAGUCGAUGGGAAACAGGUUAAUAUUCCUGUACUUGGUGUUACUGCGAAGGGGGG
rnacentral:rRNA from 1 species